GAUGAACGCUAGCUACAGGCUUAACACAUGCAAGUCGAGGGGCAGCAUUGGGGUAGCAAUACUUCAGAUGGCGACCGGCGCACGGGUGAGUAACACGUAUCCAACCUGCCGCUUACUCGGGGAUAGCCUUUCGAAAGAAAGAUUAAUACCCGAUGGUAUAAAGAGUUCGCAUGUUCUCUUUAUUAAAGAAUUUCGGUAAGCGAUGGGGAUGCGUUCCAUUAGAUAGUUGGCGGGGUAACGGCCCACCAAGUCUACGAUGGAUAGGGGUUCUGAGAGGAAGGUCCCCCACAUUGGAACUGAGACACGGUCCAAACUCCUACGGGAGGCAGCAGUGAGGAAUAUUGCGCAAUGGGGGCAACCCUGACGCAGCAACGCCGCGUGAGUGAGGAAGGUUUUCGGACCGUAAAGCUCUGUCGAGCGGGAAGAAAUGCAUGGUGGCUAAUAUCCAUCAUGCUUGACGGUACCGCUAAAGGAAGCACCGGCUAACUCCGUGCCAGCAGCCGCGGUAAUACGGGGGGUGCAAGCGUUGUUCGGAAUUAUUGGGCGUAAAGAGCGUGUAGGCGGCUGAAUAAGUCAGAUGUGAAAUCCCUGGGCUUAACCCAGGACGUGCAUUUGAAACUAUUCAGCUUGAGUAAGGGAGAGGAAAGUGGAAUUCCUGGUGUAGAGGUGAAAUUCGUAGAUAUCAGGAGGAACACCGGUGGCGAAGGCGACUUUCUGGCCCUAUACUGACGCUGAGACGCGAGAGCGUGGGUAGCAAACA
rnacentral:rRNA from 1 species